rnacentral:tRNA from 1 species
GGCAGUGUGGUGCAGUGGCUAGCAUCCUCUUUCAUAGUUCUUCUCGAGAGAGUCUUUGGUUCAACUCCAACGCUGUCA